UGGUGCGAACAUCUCAAUCUUUCGUAGCAACAUCACAUCGCAUCACAUUGCAGAGAUCGCGCUUCAGUCGGUUGGCAAACGGUGGCGCAGAUGAAUCUUUGCGACGAAGACGACGAGAAAAUCUAUCAUAUCCAUCAAAUCGUGCUCUACGCGCCUCAGCAUAAGCAGCAUCAUAUAGUUGGUCUUGGGUUUAUCGUGCCAAGAUUUAUUUUUAAUCUGGUUUGGAGCACUUAAAUCAGUUCACGGUACCAUCAUAACGCAUCCAAUGCGGUGUGAGAAGGGCGCGCAAUUUUGCAGAUCACGCGGGAAAUUCAAUCACGGAGAGAAAUUUUCGCACAUGUGUAUAUCGCUGCUUCUACCGCUUGGUGGCCGGAGUUACGAGUUGAAGCAGUCGUUACAAGCCUGGAGUGAAGAAGAUUAUCUACUUAAUUAGUUUAUUAGCUGUGGGUAGUCUAUUGGGCGAAGGUUUUAUGUUCGGAUCUGAUUUUCUCAGUAAGAGAUUGCGCAUAUGAGUGUGUUGUUAUUCUGAAGUGGAAAGUCUUCGAGUGCUGAAAAAGAUUUUCCUAUUUUGAAAGCAAUCUGACGUUGAUCGGUUUGGUGGAGUGUGGGUAUUUGGGUUAAUUUGUCGGUUGGCAUAGCGCAGUGUAAUCCCAGCUGUCGAAACAAGCGUGUCAAGAAUUUUCCGUCCCGGGUUGAAUCGGCGGCCGGAGAUGCAACCUGAAGAGUAUGAAAAUACAGGCUGGUUGUCGUAUUUCAGCCGCCACAAGACGACCUAUACGGCAGCUGACAUUCAUAAAAUCAGUAACGAGUUGAAUAAUGUGCGUAAGAAUUUAACUGCGACCCAAUAUGCCUAUGGUGAACUGAGCAGUGAACUGAAAGCGUUGAAGAGUUUCCAAGAGCAGCAAAGGUUGAGUGAGGAAUACGAACGAGCCAAUAGCAGUAAAUCUACCUCGGCUAAAUCAGCUGAGAAACGACUUGCUCAACAGGCGGAGGAGAUAAAAUUGCUGAAAAGUGAAUUAACGGGUUGUAAAAAUGAUCUAUUAAAGCAGAUCAACGCGCUGAAAGUGAAUGUGAGCGAAACGGUCAAGAAAAAGAUCAAAACCGGUCAACUUCCGACUGGGGCAUCGUUAAGUAUCGAAAGUCGAAUUAUUGCCAUCGAGGCGCAGUUAGAUCAACUGGCGGGGGAGAACAGGGACCGCUUGAAUGGACUCGAGUGUCGAUUAAAUCAGAUGGAACAGCAGCACGAAAGGGAAUGUGGUCAUGCGUUGAAGAAACUAGAAUCGAGCACCAGUCGGAAGUUUCAGGAGAUGACAAACAUGAUACUGGACCUGCAACGAAAAAUGGACACAAGUGAAACGAAACUUGACGAGCAGAUAAGAAAUCAGAGCAUGAGUCAGGAUGCGAUCUAUGAGGAGUUGGAUCAAAGGAUGGAUGUGUUUGCGGCCAAGAUGAGAGAGCUACAAGCAAGAAUUGCCCAUUUGGGGCAGCGAGACGAUAUUGGAUCGACGUUUGUGUAGCAUAUUCAUGGGAUUUAUGUUGCGCGUGCUAGAUGUUUUUACCGUUAUUAGUAUUAGUUUCGAUACUUUUGGGUACCACCUUGGCAGGAGAAGAAAGCCACACUACGGAAACUGCCCGUUCCGACCUACAUAUCCACGAUCACCUAGCUGCCGAUCUGCACCACGAUCCAU